CAUAGUCUCUGAAGUAAGAGAAGAGCACUGGGAUGGAGCAGCCCUGAGGUCAGCCACGGAGAUCAAGUGCUGCCACCAUUCUUGUGGAGCCCAGACAGCUUGGGAGUUGAAGUUCUGGUCGUGGUGAUACAGUCAAUGAUAUGUGGACAUGCAUCGAAGCUUUCUCUCUCUGGUGACCAUCAUAGCCGUCCAAUGACCAUGACAUCCACCACCUCGCCCUUAUGGAGCUCCACAUACUGCUCUGUCUUUGGAGGUAGCAUCAACAAUCCGUUGGCACUGCGCAUGCUCAUCAGACGGCUGCUCAUCUGGUUACCUAGGAAGAAAUACCUCAUUACAGCAGCAACAUCACAGGGCAUACAUCUGGAGCCCUUGCAGUUUUUUUCAAAAUAAACACCAAUGAACAGAAACAGAGGCUUCAAGGGGAAGAGAGAAGAUCAAGCUUCCCAGUCCUUUUCCAGAGACGCACAGAGAGAGGCAGAGACCUAGGCAGAGGGAGACGCAGGUUCCCUGUGGGGAGUCUGAUGCAGGACUCCAUACCAGCACCCGAGGAUCACGCCCUGAGCCAAAGGCAGACGCUCAACCACUGAGCCACCCAGGAGUCCCAAGAUCCUAGACCUUUUGAUUCAAAGGCAGCAAAGAUCUCUGUCUGAUAUUCUGAAAGCUAGAGUCAGAUAGAAAGAAGAAAAAUCAAUGGGUUAAGAAACAAGAGUUUUUCCUCAACUCAGGAAUAAAACAAACAAAGGGAAAAAGAGAGAGAGAGAGACAUCAAGAAACAGACUCUUACCUCUAGAGAACAAACUGAUGGUUACCAGAGGGGAGUAAGAUAUUCCCCAUUGUGGCAGCCAUUGUUGGGAAUUUGGUUUUAAAGUCUGAUGAUUUCUAUAAGUGGAUGAUUGCGGUCUAUUCUCAGGUGGAUCCUCAGUAUCGGUGUUGAAUAAACUUUGAGCAUGUGAUUUUAGAGAGCCUCAGCCUUCAAGCUUGGAUGGAACCAGGCAGCACUAACUUCUCAAUUAGAUAGUAUGACUGUUUUAAGUUUAUAAUUUGCUAGAGAAAGCUAAAGCUGUGAGAGCUAAAGGUCUUACUAAAAGAUAAAAUUUCAGGAAAAUAUGAGCAAAAUUCCUUUUUCCCAGUCUCCAAACCAAUGAGAGCCCCACUUAUAUUAAGUAAAAGACAGCUUCCACAAUAUAUAAUUAAUAUGCUUUCUUAGGAAUAUUUGAUAGUGUGAGUUUAUAGCUCUUCAUAGUCUCCACUGAGAAUUUCAGUUAUAGAAAGUUAGACAGUAUGCCAAGAAGCUAUUGUUCUGCUAUGAGAAUCUGAGAAUGUUAUGUCCAUUCUGUUCUAUAUUUUCCCACACACAAUAUUCUCUAAGUUCUGUGUAAUACAGAAUUAAAUUUGAUGAAGAUAACAAUAAAUGCAUAUUUCUAGAUUCUGUGGAGAUAAAAAAUCUUAAAUGUAGGGCUAUGUAUCUUUGGGGACCCUUGUCUAUAUAUAUACAAUUAAGUGAUCUCAAGAGAUUGAUAAAAAGAAAGGACUGGAAAAGAGUGGCUGAUGAUCUAUACUGUUUUGUGUAGUAUGCUCACUUGUGCUACAAGAAGACAGUGAUGGCGUGCUUGGUUAAAAGGUGAUAGAAUCCUUAUGUUGUUAGCAAGAUACUCAUAUAUAUAUAAGUUAGCUCCCCACAUGAUGACAGUCAUUAACAAACUCUCUACCCUUUGGGGUGCUAGCUUUUUUACACUGGGAUGACUGGCCUAAAAAAUAUCUUCAGAAAGAGUUUACAGAUUCAGACAGUUGACACUGGACAUAUAUAGAAAGAAAUAAAAAGAGUUAUUUAUAAAGUUGAGUAUGAUUUGUAAGAACUGAAUCCAAACGUAGUCUCUAAAUGGUAAAAGUAAAAUAUUUAAUUUAUUUGGUUGGGGAUUUAUUCUGGUUCAGAUAAUGCUUUUUUUCUUACUGUCUAAAGUAGGAUGUUAGGAUACCCGAGUGGCUUUUGGAUAUAGGAGUUCUAAGAAGGCUUUGGAAGAAGUCAAGGGGAAACUCUUGACUUCAGUGGUCCAAGAAAUGGACUUCUUAUCCUCAUUUUAGGUAACUAAGACACUAUCAGUUUUUCGAAUCAAGAGUUUAGGACGAAUGUGGUAGGUAACAGAAAGCUGAAAAGAAAAGAUACUACCUAAGACUUCCCCAUACAAAACAAGGAUAUAAGUCAGUUUGCUGAUGAUUAUACAUUCUUCAAAAGUUUAACUUCAUUGUGACAGCAUUGAUACUGCAACAUUUAAAAACUACCAUCUCUUCCAAUCUAUAUGAGAAGCUACAAAGACUACUUUGACUUAAUAGCUAUCCAUUGUGUUCACCAAAACACUUGAGAAGGCAGUCUUGGUACAUAUACUUCCUCAGGCCAAAUGACUAUUGGUAGGAACAAUGUUAGGGGUAGGGAUUAAGAGGAAAGGUGAAUGUAACAUAUGCAGAUUUGGGUUGUUACCACAUUAAAAAAAAAAAAAACAACUUAAAAUGAAUAUAGCAUAUUCAGAAUACUUCAUGAUUAUUUAACAGA